rnacentral:rRNA from 1 species
CUGGCCGUAAACGAUGGAUGCCAGGUGUGCGUGCAGAGAUGCAUACGUGCCGCAGUCAACGCGAUAAGCAUCCCGCCUGGGGAGUACGGUCGCAAGAUUGAAACUCAAAGGAAUUGACGGGGGCCCGCACAAGCGGUGGAGCACGUGGUUUAAUUCGAUGCAAACCGAAGAACCUUACCCGGGUUUGACAUGCGCGUGUUACGGAGACGAAAGUCGAAGGACCCUUUCGCAAGGAUGGGAGCGCGCACAGGUGC